CCUUGUUAUGGAUCUUGAGGGUCAGAAACUCCAGGCCUUUACUGGUGCCUAUGCUGAACUUGAAUCAACUCUUUCUGGUUUGAAUGUUCUUGUCGAGACCUACUUCGCUGAUAUCCCUGCUGAGGCAUACAAGACCCUAACCUCAUUGAAGGGUGUGACUGCCUUUGGAUUUGAUUUGGUUCGUGGCACCAAGACCCUUGAUUUGGUCAAGGCAGGUUUCCCUGAGGGAAAGUACCUCUUUGCUGGUGUUGUUGAUGGAAGGAACAUCUGGGCCAACGACUUUGCUGCGUCCCUAAGCACCUUGCAGGCACUUGAAGGCAUUGUUGGUAA
rnacentral:lncRNA from 1 species